rnacentral:rRNA from 1 species
GCUCAGGAUGAACGCUAGCUACAGGCUUAACACAUGCAAGUCGAGGGGUAGCAGGGUAGCAAUACCGCUGACGACCGGCGCACGGGUGAGUAACACGUAUCCAACUUUCCCAUAACUCGGGGAUAGCCUUUCGAAAGAAAGAUUAAUACCCGAUAGUACUUUUUUAGGGCAUCUUAGAAAAGUUAAAGAUUUAUUGGUUAUGGAUGGGGAUGCGUUCCAUUAGAUAGUUGGUGAGGUAACGGCUCACCAAGUCUUCGAUGGAUAGGGGUUCUGAGAGGAAGGUCCCCCACAUUGGUACUGAGACACGGACCAAACUCCUACGGGAGGCAGCAGUGAGGAAUAUUGGUCAAUGGGCGAGAGCCUGAACCAGCCAAGUAGCGUGAA